rnacentral:rRNA from 1 species
GAAGGGSGCGAGCGUUGUUCGGAUUUACUGGGCGUAAAGGGCGCGCAGGCGGCCAUUCAAGUCAGGCGUAAAAGCCCCGGGCUUAACCUGGGAACUGCGUCUGGGACUGGACGGCUAGAGAUCGGGAGAGGAGCGUGGAAUUCCCAGUGUAGAGGUGAAAUUCGUAGAUAUUGGGAAGAACACCGGUGGCGAAGGCGGCGCUCUGGACCGAGACUGACGCUGAGGCGCGAAAGCGUGGGGAGCAAACAGGAUUAGAUACCCUGGUAGUCCACGCUGUAAACGAUGUGUGCUAGACGUUGGGGAGCCUAGCUCUUCGGUGUCGCAGCUAACGCGGUAAGCACACCGCCUGGGGAGUACGGCCGCAAGGUUA